rnacentral:rRNA from 1 species
AGCGAACGCUGGCGGUAGGCCUAACACAUGCAAGUCGAACGGCAGCACAGGAGUGCUUGCUCUCUGGGUGGCGAGUGGCGGACGGGUGAGGAGUACAUCGGAAUCUGCCCACUCGUGGGGGAUAACGUAGGGAAACUUACGCUAAUACCGCAUACGUCCUUCGGGGGAAAGGGGGGGAUCGCAAGACCUCUCUCGGUUGUGUGAUCCGAGGUCGGCUUAGAUAGUUGGCGGGGUAAUGGCCCACCAAGGCGACCAUCCGUAGCUGGUCUGAGAGGAUGAUCAGCCACACUGGAACUGAGACACGGUCCAGACUCCUACGGGAGGCAGCAGUGGGGAAUAUUGGACAACGGGCGCAAGCCUGAUCCAGCCAUACCGCGUGGGUGAAGAAGGCCUUCGGGUUGUAAAGACCUUUUGUUGGGAAAGAAAUCUUUCCGGCUAAUACCCUGGGAGAAUGACGGUACCCAAAGAAUAAGCACCGGCUAACUACGUG